CAGUUGAACUAUGGCUUGCUGGAGAGAUCUUCUGGGCCCUCUGUGAUUCCUUCUUCAUCUGAGUGUCCCUUUGCCUACAUCUGUCCUCCAGCCUAAUGUCCUUUCUGUGGCACAUGCCUCUGUGACAGUAAGGGCAUAAAGGACUGGGUUCUCAUGAUGGCAUUCCAGGGCCCUUAACACUUAAUCACCAGACAUAUUUGAACAGAGAGGUCUUCCUAGGCCUUUGACCCCAUUCCAUGUGGCCAACCAUUCCCUACAUCUAUGCCUUCUCAUUGAAUGAAUCAUUACUUUAGGAUCUGCUUUGUCAUAGUAACCUCAUGUUGGCACAAAAAAAAAAAAUUCUGAAUAUGGCUUUUCCUCAGGAUGCAAAUAACCUCCCACCUCAAACUGCUGAUGCUUAGAACUGCAUGUGAUGCUGUAGCAUGUAGGAGCAGUUUGCCAAUGGAAUAUCAUGCAUUGAGACAGAGAGACCUUCAGAGCUCUUCUCUUUAGGGAUUCCUUGCCCAUUACCUCAAUCCUUCAGUGUCAGCCUCAGUUUUUAUUCUGGCCAUGUUAGUAAUUAUUUGCUCUCACACAAAAUAUAUGCAUCUUUGUGCAUCAACAUCAUACCUUAUUCUCUUCUGUGGGAGAGGGUGAGGCUGUCACUGGCUCAUUUGAAAAGAACAUGUUCAGGGUGUGGCCAAAGGUUCAUCUGAAACCCUAGAAAUUCUAGGUGGAGAGUAUUUCACAGCAUGUUUGGGGGAGGCCAACCGGGGGGAAUUGUUAAUAGUCUGGAGCAGUAACAAUCAUGUAGGUUGUUUCAGAAAUUAACUUAAUGUGAAAACGGAGGUCAUCUGACUUGCUUAAAUGUCAGGAUAAGGAGCAUAUGGGCCCAAAUUUGGCUUCAAUUUCCCUUUGAAUUUAAUGGGUGUGGCAGGUGCUUAUCUAAUCAUGAUAUUUGGACCAAUAUGUUUUGCACAUUCAGGACUUUGUAAUGAGAUACAGUGUUUAUUUAUGUUCCAUUCUUUUCCCUACAGACUGCAAAAAUACCCUUUGCUCAACCCUGUCUAUUUAUUGCCAGUGUCAACAGUCAAAGCUAGUGACAGAAGUUGUCAUCUGCCCAGGUAACAUCCCACAAGCAGCAUGACCAGAAAGGACAAGCAAUUUCUCUUUUGGAAUUUCAACUCAAACAUCCCAGGGGAAGAGUUUUACUGGCCCUGAUUGGGUCAUCUGACCACCUACUUGGAUCUAUCACCAUGGCCAGAAAAAAAUGGAUGUUCUGAUUGGCCUUGCCCACUCUGUGACAUAGAGAUUGAAACUCACCAAAGAAUCAGAGAUGGCCACUGGAAGAACUUUUCUAAGUUGGGCAGAUGCCAUGAUAUGUGCCUUUUUCAUGAAUUCUGAUGCUGAUGUAAAGCACAGAAGUUGAGGUGAGGCAUUGGACUUUAACUCAUCAAGAUCAUUGGGCUUGUGUGACAUCAAAUAGUGAAUGCUGUGUCAUAAAUUCUUUUCAUUCAUUCAUUCAUUCAUUUAUUUAUUCAUUCAUAUCUUCAUGCAGUGUUUAUUAAGGCUCUGAUACAUAGAAGGCCCUGUCUGAGAUGCAGAAAUCCUUUUAAUUGUGGGGAACAUGGUAAGCCCUCAGAAACUACAACUGAAUCACUGUCAUAUUCUUUCUUGUGACUCAGAAAUUCCUUUUUUCUGGGCAAGAAAUUGUCCAGCUUGACUUCACCUUAGCCUCAUGACUCAGUCUAAUCUGUGCCAUCACCAGAAUAAUAAUUUUAUUAUUCUUAGAUUCCAUUAUUGGGAAAGAGAAAGAUUCUUGUCAAUAUGAGAAUUAAAAUAAAACCAUGUAUUAUUUACUGGCUCUUUAUCA
rnacentral:lncRNA from 12 species